AUUGAACGCUGGCGGCAGGCCUAACACAUGCAAGUCGAACGGUAGCACAAAGGAGCUUGCUCCUUGGGUGACGAGUGGCGGACGGGUGAGUAAUGUCUGGGAAACUGCCUGAUGGAGGGGGAUAACUACUGGAAACGGUAGCUAAUACCGCAUAACGUCGCAAGACCAAAGAGGGGGACCUUCGGGCCUCUUGCCAUCAGAUGUGCCCAGAUGGGAUUAGCUAGUAGGUGGGGUAAUGGCUCACCUAGGCGACGAUCCCUAGCUGGUCUGAGAGGGUGACCAGCCAAACUGGAACUGAGACACGGUCCAGGCUCCUUCGGGAGGCAGCAGUGGGGAAUAUUGCACAAUGGGCGCAAGACUGAUGCAGCCAUGCCGCGUGUAUGAAGAAGGACUUCGGGUUGUAAAGUACUUUCAGCGGGGAGGAAGGUGAUACGGUUAAUAACCGUGUCAAUUGACGUUACCCGCAGAAGAAGCACCGGCUAACUCCGUGCCAGCCGCCGCCGUAA
rnacentral:rRNA from 1 species